UGCUGCCAAGACUAUAGGUUACUUUCCACAAACUGACAGCCUUAUUGCUGAAGACAACAUCUACAUAACUCAUUGAACACCAAGAAGUCAAGCUGCUUGCUACCUAGAACCUUCAUCCCUAUGUGCUAGCAUCUUUGGUACAGAAAGGAAGUUAAAUAGUGGGGAUAAGUAAAGAGGAGGACAAGUAAAAAGGUAAGCCAAGGUGAGGAGGAAACACAGCAAUAGCUUCUGUGAGAGAUCACUGUAUCUUCGAGCCCGAGGCAAUCAUGCCACACUGUCUACCUCCAAAAGCAACUAAUGGAAGUUUCAUCCACUAGUGUGGUUUGAAGUGUGUUAGGUGUCUAAUCAGUAGAGAAUUCAAUCAUGUGACUCAUGAAGGCUCAGAUGUUCUUUUAGUGAAAAGCCAGUUCAGCAUUUCUGGGAUCAAGAUGUAGACUCUCAGCUAACUCUCCAGAACCAUCACUGCCUGCAUGCCACCCUGCUUCCCACCAUGAUAAUGAACUAAACUUCUGAAUGUAAGCAA
rnacentral:lncRNA from 1 species